AACGAACGCUGGCGGCAGGCCUCACACAUGCAAGUCAAACGGUGUAGCAAUACACAGUGGCGCACGGGUGAGUAACGCGUGGGAAUCUGCCCAGUAGUACGGAAUAACACAGGGAAACUUGUGCUAAUACCGUAUACGCCCUUCGGGGGAAAGUUUUUCGCUAUUGGAUGAGCCCGCGUCAGAUUAGCUAGUUGGUGGGGUAAUGGCCUACCAAGGCGACGAUCUGUAGCUGUUCUGAGAGGAAGAUCAGCCACACUGGAACUGAGACACGGUCCAGACUCCUACGGGAGGCAGCAGUGGGGAAUAUUGGACAAUGGGCGAAAGCCUGAUCCAGCCAUGCCGCGUGAGUGAUGAAGGCCUUAGGGUUGUAAAGCUCUUUUAGCGGGGAAGAUAAUGACGGUACCCGCAGAAUAAGUUCCGGCUAACUUCGUGCCAGCCGCCGCAGUAA
rnacentral:rRNA from 1 species